GGAUUUCAAGGAAAAUUUUCAGAUUUUUGAGCCUCUGGUUCCUUCCUACCAGUGGACACUUCUUUUAGUGAACUAAAAUAAUGAUUCAGAACAAAUUAAAGCAAGAGAUACGGAGGCAGAAUGAGGGAGCUAAACCAUCAACAUUCCUGCUGCUACCUCUGGAUGGGAGAACACGGCCCCCUCUCAACUCUGAAGCUUGGGAGUUCCCUGGGAGGGCAGGGCUGGGUCUGCAGAGCAUGCGCGCCUCCCCUGCCUACAGCUGGGGCAUCAGGACUUCAGGCCAGUCCUGCUGCUGUGGAGGGACCUGCACAGAGAGCAGCAUUUGGGGUAUGGGACUCCCUUUAGAAUGUGGACCUAAUCCCUGGCCAAGGGGAGUGAGUAAGAGCCAGGCAAGAAGCUUCUGUUGAUCUGCAGGCAGAAGGAGUCUUACAAAAACGGAAUGCGGGUGGAGCUGAGCGCAGUGUUCUUAGGUCCUGAUCCCAGUCAAUCACCUUCACUCAGGAAGAAUGGUGAAAGAUAGAGAGAAGGGUGGGACAUUGUCCUCUACUCUUUCCUCUCCUGGAGAGUGUGGAGAAACUCUCCGCUUUGCCUCUCCUUCUCUAUGGAAAUAUGAGGGCCUUAUAAGCAUUUUUCUCUAAAAAUGCUCAUGGUUGCAGCAAGCAGACAUUCCAGAAACAAAUUUCUGGUGCAGAAAUCAUAUGUAUAAAAGCUUGAUGUGAGAAAAUGUGGGAUGUGUAUGUGCAAGGGGGUGCUCCUUGGUGCUUGAAGCUUGGGGUGCUUGUAAGGAAGUGGGGGAGAAUAAGGCAAGAAAGAUAUUGCCAGAUUCCGGGAGCCUCGAAUUCCAGGCCAGGGAGUUUGACUUUGAUCCUUAGGCACUGCAAAUCCACGCAUCUUAUUGGAAACAUCACUCUAAGCAUCUGUCCCCACCGAGCAGGGAGCUGUGCUGGGUUCCAUCAGACACAGCUGGCCUUAGCCACCCCUCCAUGUUACUUGCUUGUGAGCAAUGCUAGGUGUAUUCCUCUAGGUUUCAGGAUGAGAUCACAUUGCUUGUUUACCUAAAACAGACUGUAGGAAAUCUGCAACCAAAUAUCCUUGAGGUAAAUACAGAAACAACAGAAAAGCAAACAGCAGACGACUGAGAAUGGGAUCCCCUGAUGGAGUUUGGAGGAGGCAGAACACAGAGAGCAGCCUCUGGAGUGCCCAAGCCCCACAGCUCAUCACCCCGCAUCCAUUCUAAGGAUGGGGCAGAGCUGCAGGACAACACUGAGUGAGGGACAGAGACAAGAGACAAACGUGAGCUUUGGACUCACUAACUCAAGUCAGAAACAAUAUUAGGGAAAAAUAAAGGUUGACUCCAUAAAUAGAAGAAUUUAGUUCAGUUAUAGAGAGAACCAUGCCAACAGUUCAAGCAAUUUAAAGGAUGUAAUGAACCAGUGUGAGGACUAGUCCCCCAGUUUCUCCCCAAAAUUGGUAAUAUUAACUCCUUAUACUCAUUCAGCGCAUUGCAAUUUGCAAGCCCUUUCACAUGAUGUUAUCUCUUGGGUCUUCACAAACAGCCUGGGAUCUAAGGAGGGCUAGGGAAGAAGGAGCCCCAUUUGAGGAAACUGAAGCCCAGUUCCAUGACCAGGUCUAGAACCAGGCCAGCUUUCCCUCUGGCUCCACUGUAAUGCCAUAGUUGUGUUGGUGGGGGCUUUCCUUGAGAAAGAUGAUGGAGGCAUUGAUCAAUAGUUUAUCAGUCUGUCCUCCAUAUAGAGGUCUGCAAUAGACAAUGUUACCAUGAGGCUUCAUUCUAUAUGGUACCAUCCAUCCAUACUAUUUCCAAAGUGACUAGGUCUACUUAAUCUAAAGUGGGUAAGUAGAAUGAUAAAUAGAACUGUAUUUACAAGCAAAGAUAGAUAUUGAAAUUAAAACUGGG
ensembl:lncRNA